UACGUUUAAUCGUCUUUAUUAGAGAUUUAAGGCACAAACAUGAGACCAUCAGACUCUGACCUGCUGCUGCUGCUGCAAACAUCUCCCUGAGCUUCAGUCUGUGUCUGAGGAACAUCUACAGACCAGGGUCCAGGUCAGUCCAGACCACCACCACAGAAAAACAGGAACUAUCAUCAGAUUUACAGAAAACACAAACACACACACACACACACACACACACCAGAUACUGAAACAUUCACAUCG